ensembl:lncRNA
GUUACAGUGCCUCACAGCCUUCUGAGUAAAGAAUUUCUUCCUUGAAUCUUCAAAUUUGGAGGUAAUCAUGAAUUUAAGCACAAGAAAAUUCUCAUGUAGAGAUGGAUCAUUAAAAAGUUUGGCUGAAGAUCUGGCCCGUAGCCAACAGUGCAUGGAUAAGAGGACUGAAGAGCUCUCUACAAUUCACAUCACUCACUCCAGCCGUGCAUCUAGACAGCACUCUGAACUGCUUGCUGUAAAUUACACACCUGGAGUACUGUUCCACUCUGAUAAGCUCUGCCCUCUCCCCUUCUCAGCUUUGUGGAAGAGGUACAGUUAAUCCAACUGAACGAUUGCAAGUGAUGCUUAUUAUUCGGCAGAUCUUGAUUUGCAAUGCACUGAGCCAUCUAUCUUUUGCUGCAGCUACAAGAAUAACGUGCUAUGGAAUCUAUCACAGCCCAACAAUUCCACAAUUGAUUUGCUGGCAGCUGAGCCCUGGGGCUUGGAAUGUAAAUAAGACUCAGAAUAAAAGUG